CUCCUUCAGCAGCAGAUACAGUACACUGGAACAAUACAGAGGUCAGCACGGCCCCUGUGCAAGGAUGGUAGGCAAAUUCAUGAAGUGUUGCAUUGUUUU
rnacentral:snRNA from 1 species